rnacentral:rRNA from 1 species
AACGAACGCUGGCGGCAUGCCUAACACAUGCAAGUCGAACGAGACCUUCGGGUCUAGUGGCGCACGGGUGCGUAACGCGUGGGAACCUGCCCUUAGGUUCGGAAUAACUCCCCGAAAGGGGUGCUAAUACCGGAUAAUGUCUUCGGACCAAAGAUUUAUCGCCUUUGGAUGGGCCCGCGUUGGAUUAGCUAGUUGGUAGGGUAAAAGCCUACCAAGGCGACGAUCCAUAGCUGGUCUGAGAGGAUGAUCAGCCACACUGGGACUGAGACACGGCCCAGACUCCUACGGGAGGCAGCAGUGGGGAAUAUUGGAAAAGGGGCGAAAGCCGGAUCCAGCAAGGCCGGGGGAGUGAUGAAGGCUUUAGGGUUGUAAAGCUCUUUUACCCGGGAUGAUAAUGACAGUACCGGGAAAAAAAGCCCCGGCUAACUCCGU